AUUGAACGCUGGCGGCAUGCCUUACACAUGCGAGUCGAACGGCGGCACGGGUGCUUGCACCUGGUGGCGAGUGGCGAACGGGUGAGUAAUACAUCGGAACAUGUCCUGUAGUGGGGGAUAGCCCGGCGAAAGCCGGAUUAAUACCGCAUACGAUCUACGGAUGAAAGCGGGGGACCUUCGGGCCUCGCGCUAUAGGGUUGGCCGAUGGCUGAUUAGCUAGUUGGUGGGGUAAAGGCCUACCAAGGCGACGAUCAGUAGCUGGUCUGAGAGGACGACCAGCCACACUGGGACUGAGACACGGCCCAGACUCCUACGGGAGGCAGCAGUGGGGAAUUUUGGACAAUGGGCGAAAGCCUGAUCCAGCAAUGCCGCGUGUGUGAAGAAGGCCUUCGGGUUGUAAAGCACUUUUGUCCGGAAAGAAAUCCUUGGCCCUAAUACGGUCGGGGGAUGACGGUACCGGAAGAAUAAGCACCGGCUAACUACGUG
rnacentral:rRNA from 1 species